AACCUUAUGGACCUGCGGGCGUAUACCUGCGGAAGGAUCAUUAAAAAGAGUGUGUACCCCUCUGUAAAAUGAGUGGGUUACCUCCCGUCCUUUGUUGACCUCUUAGGAGGUUAUUUUGAACUUUCUGCUUCGGUGGGGUUAAACCUACCGGAACACCCUCAAAUUCUUAUCAUUUAAAAAUUGUUCAGUCUGAUUUUUGUUAAUAAAAACAAAAAACUUUCAGCAAUGGAUCUCAGAUCG
rnacentral:misc_RNA from 1 species